AGAGUUUGAUCCUGGCUCAGGAUGAACGCUAGCUACAGGCUUAACACAUGCAAGUCGAGGGGAAACGACAUCGAAAGCUUGCUCUUGAUGGGCGUCGACCGGCGCACGGGUGAGUAACGCGUAUCCAACCUGCCCACCACUUGGGGAUAACCUUGCGAAAGUAAGACUAAUACCCAAUGACGUCUCUAGAAGACAUCUGAAGGAGAUUAAAGAUUUAUCGGUGAUGGAUGGGGAUGCGUCUGAUUAGCUUGUUGGCGGGGUAACGCCACCAAGGCGACGAUCAGUAGGGGUUCUGAGAGGAAGGUCCCCCANAUUGGAACUGAGACACGGUCCAAACUCCUACGGGAGCA
rnacentral:rRNA from 1 species